UGCUGGUUUUGGCUUCAUUAGCUGUUCCUCUAGGAUUCAUUAGCUGUCCUUCCAUUGAUUCUAUCCAUAAAAAAAGAAAUAUAGAUUGAACGUUGAUGUCACUGGAUAAUAAUUCUUUAGUAAACGUAAGAUUUUCUCAAGUUGCAAUUUUUUAUUUCACUGUAACCUGUUUCCCGGAAGAACAGCGUAAAUUCGAGCACACAAAUAUUCUAUUCAUCUUUUAAGCUAAGUAUCCAAGCACAGACAAGCUGAAUUUUGUAGAAACAGAAUUCUUCCUUGCAGGUUUUACUUAGCUCUUGCCCAAUUGGAUUUAGGACCAAGUUUUUGGAUUAAAUUAUGUAUCCUUGUUAAUCCAAUCAACUUCAUGUAUGAUCUUCCAACAAGGAUAUUGCACAUGUCAGGUGGUUUUUUGGUACACUGCCACUACACCGUCUCUGACACAGUUUCACAAAAAAACUGAAAGGGAAAACCACCCCGCUUAUUGUACUUCAACUUGCAUAUAUAAUAAAUUGAAAGGGAAAACAUUCAUUGUAUUGUUCAUAAAUUGCUAUUCAAUACGCAUUCAUUGUACUCUUUGCUUAUUAUUAUUAUAUUAUAAAAUAAAAUUGUAGAAGUUGAUAGCAAUUAGCUCAAUGCUAUGCAUCAACUUUGUUCUGCAAAAUCAAUCAAUAUCAAGCUAGGAAUAAAAAAUUGUCUCCCAUUGCAGACAAGCUGAAUUUUGUAGAAACAGAAUUCUUCCUUGCAGGUUUUACUUAGCUCUUGCCCAAUUGGAUUUAGGACCAAGUUUUUGGAUUAAAUUAUGUAUCCUUGUUAAUCCAAUCAACUUCAUGUAUGAUCUUCCAACAAGGAUAUUGCACAUGUCAGGUGGUUUUUUGGUACACUGCCACUACACCGUCUCUGAC
rnacentral:lncRNA from 1 species